rnacentral:rRNA from 1 species
UAUUUCACAAUGGGCGCAAGCCUGAUGCAGCGAUGCCGCGUGUAUGAAGAAGGCGUUCGGGUUGUAAAGUACUUUCAGCGGGGAGGAAGGCGGUGCGGUUAAUAACCGUGCCGAUUGACGUUACCCGCAGAAGAAGCAACGGCUAACUCCGUGCAAGCAGCCGCGGUAAUACGGAGGGUGCAAGCGUUAAUCGGAAUUACUGGGCGUAAAGCGCACGCAGGCGGUCUGUUAAGUCAGAUGUGAAGUCCCCGGGCUUAACCUGGGAACUGCAUUUGAAACUGGCAGGCUUGAGUCUCGUAGAGGGGGGUAGAAUUCCAGGUGUAGCGGUGAAAUGCGUAGAGAUCUGGAGGAAUACCGGUGGCGAAGGCGGCCCCCUGGACGAAGACUGACGCUCAGGUGCGAAAGCGUGGGGAGCAAACAG